rnacentral:rRNA from 1 species
AACGUAGGGGGCCAGCGUUGCUCGGAAUUACUGGGCGUAAAGGGUCUGUAGGCGGUGCGGCAAGUCGGAAGUGAAAUCGCAGGGCUUAACUCUGCGGCUGCUUCCGAAACUGCCGUGCUCGAGUGUGAGAUAGGCGAGUGGAAUUGCAGGUGUAGCGGUGAAAUGCGUAGAUAUCUGCAGGAACAUCCGAGGCGAAAGCGGCUCGCUGGAUCACAACUGACGCUGAGAGACGAAAGCUAGGGGAGCAAACGGG